rnacentral:rRNA from 1 species
UACGGAGGGUGCAAGCGUUAUCCGGAUUUACUGGGUUUAAAGGGUGCGUAGGUGGAUAAUUAAGUCAGUGGUGAAAUCUUCAGGCUUAACCUGGAAACUGCCAUUGAUACUAUUUGUCUUGAAUACUUUGGAGGUAAGCGGAAUAUGUCAUGUAGCGGUGAAAUGCUUAGAUAUGACAUAGAACACCAAAUUGCGAAGGCAGCUUACUACACAGUAAUUGACACUGAGGCACGAAAGCGUGGGGAUCAAACAGG